UUUCUCUCUUCACAGUAAAUCUUGCUGCUGCUCACUGUUUGGGUCUGCACUACCUUUAGGAGCUGUAACACUCACUGUGAAGGUCUGUGGCUUCACCCCUGAAGUCAGCGAGACCACGAACCCACUGGGAGGAAUGAACAACUCCGGACGUGUCACCUUUAAGAGCUGUAACACUCACUGCGAAGGUCUGCGGCUUCACUCCUGAAGUCCAGCGAGACCACGAACCCACUGGAAGGAAGAAACUGUGGACACAUCUGAAGGAACAAACUCCGGACACACUAUCUUUAAGAACUGUAACACUCACCACGAGGGUCCGCGGCUUCAUUCUUGAAGUCAGCGAGACCAAGAACCCACCCAAAGGAACCAAUUCCGGACACAGGGUGGAGGAGGGGGUGAAGGUUAAUGUGCAAUUUCUAGAUGAGAAUGCCUGUGGCUUCUCUUAACCACAUAAAUGAACAAGCACUGGCAGAGAGACAGAUGGCUUAGCUGGCCCAGAGCAGCCCCAGUGCUCUUAGGGAAGGAAAAGAGCCCCCUUCACUUCACUUCAGUUCCUCCUUUCCCCAGCAGGGUGAGCAACCCCUAAAGACCAUCGUUAUUUUGAGGGCUUUUGUUUAAGUAUAGCACAUAUAUUAGAAUGUACUAUGGUGAUGGCCUAUGGUGCUCUUGAAUUGUUUCAUAAAUAUUUAUCCUGAAUCCCCAGAAAGAUUAGAAACUCAUUGAGAGCCAGAUCCAGUAUCCAUGCUGCUUCUAUGUCUCAAA
rnacentral:lncRNA from 10 species